CAAACUCCGAGCCCAAAAAAACAAAAACGCACGCGCUGGCGCUGCCCCCUCUCCUCGGACGCCACCGACCGACCGAGCCCUUCUCUCUUGCGUGGGCUCGCUCGCUCGCUUGCUUCCUGCCGCCGCCAGUUACCAGUACGGCACACGCCUCGGCCUCCGCCUCGUCACGGCGGGCCAGGGCCAUGGCCGCCGCCGCCGCCUCAGCGGGCCGCCGCCGGUGUCCGCCGCGAUGAGCCCGCCGGAUCCGGGCGCCGAGAAGUCGGUCGCGUGGCCGGACCUCCGGGGAAGCCUGGAGGAGGUCGCCGCCCUCGCCGCGGAGCUCGCGGCCGCGGCAGAGGCGCGCGCGGGCCUCUCGCGCCGUCUGGAGGCCGCGCUCGAGGUGAGGAGGGAGUCGGUGCGGCAGGGCGCGGCGCUGGACGAGAUGAGGCGGCGGCUCGACCGGCGGCGGGCGCAAGCGGACGAGCUCGCCGUCGCCAGGCAGAGGGCCGCCGAGGGCGUCGAGCGCUGCAAGGAGCAGAUGCAGGCGCAGAUCGAGCGGGUGCUGCCGCUCUCCAGGGCCCUCGCCGCCGCGCACCGGCAAGUGCAGGAUGCCAAGGAGGGAUUAUCCGCGGAGAGGGCGCGGCUUGGGGAUCUGCAGAGGCUGCUCAGGACGAGGCAGCAGUCCAUGGUAGCCCAGGUCGCCGCCCUGUACCCUGUCAGGGUCUUCCGUGACCUGCCGGUUGCACAAAACCACCAUUCCCGUACCAAUGGAGAGUGUCGAACACCUUCCGAAGAGAAUGGGGCACUUCCGCACGAGAAUGGAAAUGGAACACAUUUGCUCAGCGUUAUCAAAUCUCCACAUGUUGGCCCCUUGACGUUUUUUGGUUGGCAAAUUGGAAAGCCCAAGACAAAGCAGCCGAGUUACAGUCACAAGGAGCUUCAGAGGUCAGCAGCUGUGCUUGGAUAUGCCGCGCAUUCUUGCUUAUUGCCUCAUAUCUUGACAUUCCCCUCCGAUAUCCUUUGCGCUUUGGAGGAUCACGAUCUUAUGUCGGUGAUCGUUUGCCUUCAGCUGAAGCAUCAUCCAUGGCUUCAACAGAACAUCGAAGCGUCGACAGCGCUGACUCAAAACUAACAGAUUAUCCCCUUUUCUUGGAAUAUCAAGAUGACUCAACAAAGGCAUCCUACGCCAUUUACCUGUUGCAAAAGGAUACGGAGCAGCUCUUGAACUACAUUGGAGCAGAGAGUUCUGGGAGGAAUGCAUUCGGUAAUCUGCAGGAGCUUAUUAGGAUUAUACAGUCAGAUGAGUAUCUGUACAUAUGAUAGAUUCGGUGAUCAUCGUGAGUUUGAGUUGCAUAUGCUGUAGAUAUAUGGUAGGAUACAGGUUUAAGUAGGUAUUCUUUCUGUUCUUUUGUGUGAUUCCGCCUGCUCUCGCUUUGCCGAGUUUUUGUAUGCGCAGCAAAGAGCAGCAUUGGGUUGUGCUAGAUCAAUGGUAUUUACAGAUGGGGUUUUACAUGAGCAUAAAAGCCUCUCCCAUGUAUAUUUCUGAGGUUUCUGGGUGCUACCCUCCGAGGCUGUGUAUAAAAAAGGAUAUGAGUUAAUAUAAAAGGUCAUUGGACUCUGAAAUUCAAGAGCCAAGACCUACUCUGGACCUAUUA